rnacentral:rRNA from 1 species
UACGUAGGGGGCUAGCGUUGUCCGGAUUUAUUGGGCGUAAAGAGCGUGUAGGCGGCCAGGUAGGUCUGCUGUGAAAACUCGAGGCUCAACCUCGAGACGUCGGCGGAAACCAUCUGGCUAGAGUCCGGAAGAGGAGAGUGGAAUUCCUGGUGUAGCGGUGAAAUGCGCAGAUAUCAGGAAGAACACCAAUAGCGAAGGCAGCUCGCUGGGACGUUACUGACACUGAGGCGCGAAAGCGUGGGGAGCGAACAGG